rnacentral:rRNA from 1 species
GAAUAUUGGACAAUGGGCGAAAGCCUGAUCCAGUCAUGCCGCGUGUGUGAAGAAGGUCUUCGGAUUGUAAAGCACUUUAAGUUGGGAGGAAGGGCAGUAAGCGAAUACCUUGCUGUUUUGACGUUACCGACAGAAUAAGCACCGGCUCACUCUUCGCCAGCAGCCGCGGGAAUCCAAGGUGGGCAAGCGUUAAUCGGAAUUACUGGGCGUAAAGCGCGCGUAGGUGGUUCGUUAAGUUGGAUGUGAAAUCCCCGGGCUCAACCUGGGAACUGCAUCCAAAACUGGCGAGCUAGAGGAGGGCAGAGGGUGGUGGAAUUUCCUGUGUAGCGGUGAAAUGCGUAGAUAUAGGAAGGAACACCAGUGGCGAAGGCGACCACCUGGGCUCAUACUGACACUGAGGUGCGAAAGCGUGGGGAGCAAACAG